GUGAAUGUAGCUCAGCUGGUUAGAGCGCUGGCCUGUGAAGCCAGAGGUCGCGGGUUCAAAUCCCGUCAUUCACCCCA
rnacentral:tRNA from 1 species